UUCCAACCAAACUUAAUUUUGUAACCCCAAACACCCAAUAUUUAUCACACAAGUAAUAAAUGAAUGAAUGUAUGUGUAUUCAGUUUCCUUCAUUUCUUGUGUCUGGGCAUAUUUUUUUCUACUUACUCCAUCAGUGACAACAUUUCUGGUCAUUUCUAUCUCUCAAAACCCUAUUGAUUACAAGACUCAGUACAAAUGCCCCUCCUUCUUAAAGCUUUCCCUGAUCCUAUCCACCAACGUAAUCACUCUCCCUCUAGGAUUAGGGUGUUAUUCCAUGGUCAUAUGGUACUGGCUACAGUCCAUUUUAUUCCUAGGUGACUUUCCUAGUCCUCCUCUUAGGUCAAGUACGCUCUGAAAGGUGAAACCAUGCCUUUUUCAUUCUUGUCACCCACAAUGUCGUGCAUACUGCCUUAUAUGUAGUCGAAUUAAAUUGAAUGAUAUUGCUUAGGGAAGCUCUCAAUUUUGGUUGAUUUAAAACUAGCUCUUAAGCUAUUAAAACAUGAGCAGAAUUAUUGCUUUCCCAGGUCAGACCCAUUAUCUCUAAUAAUAUUCAAUUGCCUUCCUUGGGUCUGUGUUACUUAACUGAAGCUUACUGAGCACAAAUGUUCACCAAAAAUCAUCAUAACUCUCACAGAAAUUCUUUAAGUAUAAAGUUAUCUUCACUUUAUAAAUGUG
rnacentral:lncRNA from 10 species